rnacentral:rRNA from 1 species
GACGAACGCUGGCGGCGUGCUUAACACAUGCAAGUCGAACGGAAAGGCCCUGCUUUUGUGGGGUGCUCGAGUGGCGAACGGGUGAGUAACACGUGAGUAACCUGCCCUUGACUUUGGGAUAACUUCAGGAAACUGGGGCUAAUACCGGAUAGGAGCUACUGCUGCAUGGUGGGGGUUGGAAAGUUUCGGCGGUUGGGGAUCGACUCGCGGCUUAUCAGCUUGUUGGUGAGGUAGUGGCUUACCAAGGCUUUGACGGGUAGCCGGCAUGAGAAGGUGAACGGCCACAUUGGGACUGAGGUACGGCCCAGACUCCAACGGGAGGCAGCAGUCGGGAAUAUGGCGGAAUGGGCGGAAGCCUGAGGCAGCAACGCCGCGUGCGGGAUGACGGCCUUCGGGUUGUAAACCGCUUUCGCAUGUGACGAAGCGUGAUUGACGGUAAUGGGUAAAGAAGCACCGGCUAACUACGUG